GCCUUGGUGGAGGAGUUGUCAAGACGCUCGUCUGGUAAACAGGAGGGCGCGGGUUCAAUCCCCGCCGAGGCA
rnacentral:tRNA from 1 species